rnacentral:lncRNA from 1 species
UUUCCCAACUGCAAACACCAUUAGAAGACGUUAAGAGAUUCAGCCAAGCAUUCAUCUUACAUGUAAGUGAAUUUUGCUUCCGUUUUUAGUUAAAUUUAUGUUUUUGAGAUCGUUGUAGCUUAAUCUAGCAAACCUAGGGACUAUUUCAUACAAUUGUUAAAGGUUUUGAAACUUGCCAUUAAUGGAUUUUAGAUGUUCAUGAAGUUAAAUGAUAGCUUUAUGAGUUUGAUUGUUAAUAUGGCUAUUUUGUAAAGUGAUUUUUGUUAAUUUUAAGUUUAGGGGCUAAAAUGAUAAAAUAUUAAAUUUAACAAGGAAUUUUUGUAAAAUUUAGUUACUUAGGAGCUGUUAAGGGGUUAUAUUGAAUUCAACACUAAGGUUUUAGGUUGAAUUGUGAAAAAAAUAAGUAAAUUUCGGUUUUAUGGACUAAAUUGAAUAAAAGGUAAAAGUUAAGGGAAAUAAUGUAAAUUGUUACUAAAUAGUCAUGUGCAUGUAUUUAAAUAUUUUUAAGUAUUUUGAAUGGUUAAUUGAAUUAAAUUAUUAUAUAGAUCAAAAAACGAAUCAAUCUGUAGAUAAAUGCAGAAAUGGGAAAAUUGCUGAGUAGUCCUUGGUGACCUGUUUGUUACUAUUUCGAUUUAGGUAAGUUCAUAUAAUGAUUAAACUGAUUUAUAUUUAUCUUUUUGGUUUGAAGAGUAUACUUAUAUAUGUCUUAUUAUUAAAUAUUUAUGGCACAUUAAUGUUUAUUGUUAGAAGGACUAAAUUGUAAUGGUUGGUAUAAUUGAUGUUUGAAAUUGAAAAUGGAAUGUCUAUAGUUGAAUUCUUGUCUAAAUGAUAAUGUUCAAAGGUCUAAUUGAUAUGGAUAUAAACUGAGGCCCGUAUGAACUUAGUGAACAGUUAGAAUAUAAAUGACAUGUCAUUAACGUUAUUAUUGUUUCGGGUGUUGCUCUUGGAUGUUUUACCGAUGGCUAAGAUUCUACAUUUAUUGUGGAUUAUUCACAACUCGUGUGAGCAGCAUCGUGUAACGUUAUUAUCCCAACCCACAGCUUGUGUGAGCAGGCACGUUUUCACAACUCACGUGAGCAGACCCAUUUUCACAACUCGUAUGAGCAUUGUUAUCCUACGUAUCCAAUGUUAUUUCAUUAUAGUUAAUUGGGUGGAAAUUGGAUAAGUGUGAAAUGAAAAUGACAUCUAAUUUAAGUACCAGGGGAUGGAAAUGAAAUAUGAUUGCAUGUGGAUUAUUUGGUAUAAAAGCAUGAAUUAUGAUUUAUGUCAUGGCUGUAAGUAUGCUAACCUUGUUGGGUUGUGAUGCGCAUAGGACAAAGAAUGCCAUGUUUCCUAUUUGUAUAUAGAAAUGUGAUCAAUGCUUAGGUUAUACUAAAAUCAGUAAGUUAUGUUUAAAUUUCUUACGAACUUACUAAGCACUAUGUUGUUUAUGUUUUCUUUGUUUGAAUUAUUGUAGAUUAUUGGAAAUUUUACAGUCGGUUGGAAGUCAAAUCGGAACUCACACUAUUUAUCACACCCCAAAUCAGGUUGAUCUAAAUUGAAGGCGGAUAGACGCGAAGUUGACUGUUCUGACGCACUUUUGUAGUUAGUUCGCCAAAUUGUAAGCUUCUGGCGAAUUAAUGUUUUGGGCCAAAUGAGUAUCUGUUUAUGGAAGUAUAUCAUGAUUUAGUAUUGGAUGUGUUCUUCAAUGAAAGAAGGAGUUGGAUAAAAGAAAGGUGAGAUUUGUGUAGGUUACUUCCAAAAGCAUAGUUCUCCUAGUUUGUUCAAGCACUGUAAAGAACAAGUUUUGGUAAUUAGAUCUGGUAAUAAGCUAACUGAACUGAUUGGUUUAAUAGCAUAUGAACAAGACUCUCAUUUAUAUUUCUUCUGGAUUUUAUAUGCCAUUAAGAAAGGUAAUUUUUGAAAUAUCA